UCACAAUGAUAUCAGCCAGCUCCUUGAUGUUAUAAUUUACAUAAUUCAAAUCUAGAGGAAGCAGCAUGUUCCAUGAAUUGCAGGAUUUGCAGGGAGGAGGAAAACCGACCCUUAAUUGUACAUGACAGUGAUCUUUAACCUGUGAAAUUAAGAGAUGGCAGAUGGAGCAACUGAGUCUAGAUUCACAUUUUAAUGUGGGAGAGGAAUAAGUCAAGUCAAGACUCAUGAAUGAAUAUGGAAAAAUUGGUCCAACUGCAGAAGCAAUUGUCUGCUAGGAGGAAGACAUGGAAAAGAUGUCUGAAACUACAACCCAGUUAAAUGUGGUUAAUACAAAUAUCAGUAAAAAUGGAAUGGAAUUCUUCUGGUCUUUAAAGACUUAGAGGAGAGAUGCAACUAGACAGUGAAGACCAGUAGAUCACCCUAUAGGGAGGCUUAGGGUUGGUCUGCCACUGGGAAACAUUCUUGGAAGAGGAUCGUACACCGAAUAGUUUGAGUUCUGGACUGGGAUCAAGGUUAAUUUGAUUGCUAAGAGCUUAAAUUUAAAAGCAGGGAACAAAGCUGGGAAAGGCUCGUUAAAUCUGCAUGAUGAUAAUGUAGUGAGAAAGAAAUACCAGAGGGUCAGAGGAAUGAAAGUGCCAACACUGAUAAGAGCACUUGCUGGCUAAUACAGAGUGGGAAAGUACUGGCUAAAAAUUAGCCUCUUGUGGUGACAAGUAUGAAGCUAUUACAUUGGCACAACAAAACAGAGGAUCCAGAACAACUGAGUCAGAAUGUGUAGUACAGAGACCUGCGGAGGAUUAGCGGUUGUGGCUGGAACAUCAGGUUGGAAGUAUAUGCAUCAUUUAGGAAAGACAGAAGAGAAAAAUAAAGAUGGUCAAAUAGCGUUAUGCAUUAAUUACUUCAGAGAAAGAAAAGGGACGGUAUGUAUAAGACGGAUCAUGUUUGAGUUAAAAUCAUUUAGAGAAAGGUAGAAAAAAUACUGUACUGAAGUAUCAGAGAGCCUGCAGUAUUCAAGAGAGCCUGGGGACUGGAUUUAGACAGGGAUGUAGAUUGCUGUCCUGUCAUUUGGAAAAGAAAAGAAGUAGCCUUAGUAACUCUGUAAGUAUGGAAAAGUUUAAGUCCUCAGAUUGGAAGACCUACCUAUUUAUAGAUGUGCUAAGAGAUCACUACGCUGCAGUAACAAGAUGUGCAAGAGUGCUACAAAAACUUUCUCUCGUGUGGCUAGGAAGAAAUACACAGAAACCUUAAACAGUUUUUAACUAAAAGUAAGUAAUUUCCAUUAUUUUUAACUGAUUUGGAAUGAAAAGAAAUUCUGAAAUGACAGAAUUCUCAUUGAAUAGAAACACUGGUUUUAGCCAUCCCAAUUUCUUCUAACUAUUUGGGUUAGUUGCAUCACGUUGUUUCUUCAAAUUAAGCUUGAAGGCAGAAUAAAUAACUUCUCUCAUAAUUAUCACAACUUAAUUUAAAAACAAACUUUGAACAUUCUGAUAUGCAGUAGAAAAAAAAAAGGAAAUUACAACAUACAUACUAAAUGUAAUUAGACCGGAUUUUCAAGGGGCGGGUGGAAGACUAAAUUGUCAAAGAGUUAGAAUUCAGCAAAUACACUAAAUGACUGCAAAAGCAAUAUUAUGCAUUUUGUACCUUUCGUCCUUUACAUUAUUUCCACAGAAUCUGACAUGCCUGUUUUUAUUAACCCACUAGCAAUUACCAGGUCUUUUUAUUUUAUAUUUUGGUCUCUCUUACAUUGGGUGCAGAGAUUUGUAAACAUUUACAAACUGCAUUCAGUAUGUUUGCUUAGCUAUAAUCCCUAUGAAAUUCAAAUCUAGAGGAAGCGGCAUGUUCCGUGAAUUGCUGGAUUGGUAGGGAGGCAGAAAAUUGAUCCUUAAUUGUACGUGGGAGUGAUC